AAUGAACGCUGGCGGCAGGCCUAACACAUGCAAGUCGAACGGCAGCACAGGAGAGCUUGCUCUCUGGGUGGCGAGUGGCGGACGGGUGAGGAAUACAUCGGAAUCUACCCUUUCGUGGGGGAUAACGUAGGGAAACUUACGCUAAUACCGCAUACGAUCUGAGGAUGAAAGCAGGGGACCGCAAGGCCUUGCGCGAUUGGAUGAGCCGAUGUCCGAUUAGCUAGUUGGCGGGGUAAAGGCCCACCAAGGCGACGAUCGGUAGCUGGUCUGAGAGGAUGAUCAGCCACACUGGAACUGAGACACGGUCCAGACUCCUACGGGAGGCAGCAGUAGGGAAUAUUGGACAAUGGGCGCAAGCCUGAUCCAGCCAUGCCGCGUGAGUGAAGAAGGCCUUCGGGUUGUAAAGCUCUUUUGUCCGGAAAGAAAAGCUUCGGGUUAAUACCCUGGAGUCCUGACGGUACCGGAAGAAUAAGCACCGGCUAACUUCGUGCCAGCCGCCGCGGUAAGAC
rnacentral:rRNA from 1 species